GCUUUGCGCGCCGCCGGGCCUAGCAACAGAGCCCGCUCCUCCAGGGUGGAGGGGCGGUGCGAUGCGGCGGCUUCUCUGCCGGACGUCAGCGCGGGAGGUGGCUCCGCACGCCUGAGGUGCGGCGCUUUUCGCCGCCGCCGCCGCCGCCCUCGGACCCCUCCUGGGAUACUUCACAUUUCCCUAGGGACUGGAGCCCUAGGGGUCCGCUCGGCCCUCCUCCUCUUCUUCAGCUUGCGCUGAGAAGUGAAGAGCGAGGCGUGGCGGGCUGGGCCGACACCCCGCUGUGGGACCAUAACCCUUGUCCCAAUGCCUCGGUGAGCAAAGUUGAGUGGGUGCCGGUGGUUGGAGCUGUGGAGGUGUCUUUGGUGGCGAGCGCGGCCAGAACUCCGGUCACGUCAGAUGAAGUGUGCAGACUGUAUUUAGGAACAUUCUGAAGUAAUAGUGAAAUACAAUUUAGAGUUCCAUGCAGCACUGGGAGAUUGAAACACUGAUUAUUCACAGAUUAAGAAGAUCUGUGAACAGCCAUUAACUACAUGAAAAAGUGCUUCAGGAAAACAUAAAACCACAAGGAGAUACCACUUUACACCUCCCAGAAUGGCUGCAAUUAAAAAGACUCAACAACCGCAUUAUUACCCACACAACAGGUGGGUUUGAUUCCUUGGUGGGUAUCAACUCAGUGCUCACAGCCAAAGAGGAUUUACCAUGAGGAUUUUAUUACUUGCAACAAGCAAGGAGAACAUGGGGAUAGUUCCCAAAGCAGGGGCCCGAGUCAGGCUUUAUCAGCAUAGAAUAACAAGGCGUGAUCUGAUUGGAUCUUACAAUGACAUGAUGCUAGAGGAAUGAUCUGACUGGAUCCUAUCAUGGGAUGAUGCCUGAGCUUGGUCUGAUUGGAGCCUGGAUCUUGCCAUGCAGUGUCGACUUCUUAAUUUACUCCCCAUUCCUUGGUCCAAGCACUUGGGUUCAUCCUAAGAUUGCAGUCUUGGCUCAUCUGGGCAUGCUCAGGUUAUGUGAGCUGAGGAUCCAUGGCAGCUGAAAAAUAACUCACUAUUUGUUACAUAAAAGUUGAACCAGAUUGGUCUGGUGCAACUACAAGGUAUUGAGAAAAACAUGGAGCAAACAGAAUUCUCAUAUGUUGUUGGUUGGAACAGAAAAUGGUAUAACCAUGUUGGAAAAAGAUUUGGCAGUUUCUUACACAAAAUUAAAUAUAAACCUGCUCCAUGACUCAGCAAUUCCUCUCUUCGAUAUUUACCACCACCCACCCCCCACUAAAAAUGUGUCCACAGAAAGUUUUGUACAAGAAUAUUCAUAGCAGCUGUAUUCAUUGUAACCAGAAAAAAACUCAUGCUCAUCAUCAGGAGAAUGGAUAAACAAUAUGUGGUAUAUUUAAACGAUGAAAUGCUACUCAGCCUUAAAAAGGAACAGGCUACUAAGAUAUACAAAAACAUAGGUGAAUCUCACAGCCAUUUGGGUGAAACGAGGCAAAUACAUGAGAGUACAAUUUCACUUUAUUAUGUUCUGAAUCAGGUGGAACUAUGUUGAGAAUAACUGCAAAAGUGGUUGCCUCUUAUGGGUGAGGUGAUUGGAAAGGAACAUGAAGGAACUUUGUGGAGUUAUGGGAUUGUUUUUUAUCUUGAUGAAAUUGAGGCUUUCUUUUUUGUGAAUUUGUGAAAUUGUAUACAUUCAUGUGUUGCAUAUAACCACAUACACAACAGUGUUACCAUAAGAUUAUAAUGGAACUAAAAAUUUCUGUUGCCUAGUGAUUUGUUAUAGUUGCUUAUAAUAUUGAGUACAGUAACAUGUAGCCUAUAAGCAAUAGGCUAUACCGUAUAGCUUAUGUGUAUAAUAGGCUAUAUCAUCUAAGUAUGUGUAAGUACUGUACAUUCUUUGAUGUUCAC